GUGGAUUAGAUACCCUGGUAGUCCACGCCCUAAACGAUGUCUACUAGUUGUUGGGGAUUAUAUCCUUAGUAACGCAGCUAACGCGUGAAGUAGACCGCCUGGGGAGUACGGUCGCAAGAUUAAAACUCAAAGGAAUUGACGGGGACCCGCACAAGCGGUGGAUGAUGUGGAUUAAUUCGAUGCAACGCGAAAAACCUUACCUACCCUUGACAUGCCAGGAACUUACCAGAGAUGGUUUGGUGCUCGAAAGAGAACCUGGACACAGGUGCUGCAUGCCUGUCGACAACU
rnacentral:rRNA from 1 species